GGGAGCAGAGUAAAACCAUCCAGGUCUCAUUUUAUUUAUCUUUUCUUAUUUGCAGCCCCUUCAGCAGAAGUAAUGCUGUUACUAAUCAGGAGGCAGAAGUCCUAAGGCUACGGAGGACAAAGUUGGAUAAAAAUGUUCCAUGAAGGCAGACACUUCAAUGUCUGAAAUAGAAAGAGAUUUCCUGAGACUGACGCAGGCCCAGUGUCUCCUCCUUCCCACUGGUUACCUCCCGGCUUGUCGCAUGAUGAGGCAGUGAAUCCUCUCCUCUGUGCCUUGUGCUUUGCCAAAGAAACACUGCCAGGGUAAGCAGGGUGCUGAGG
rnacentral:lncRNA from 1 species